rnacentral:rRNA from 1 species
GGCCUGUAUGAAUGGCUUAACGAGGGCUCCACUGUCUCAAUAAUAAACCGGGUGAAAUUGGAAAAACGGUAAAGAUACCGUAAAGGAAUUCUAAGACGAGAAGACCCCAUUGAGCUUUACUAUUAACUUGUAUUGCCAAAGCAAAUAAAAGGGAACUCUCCCUUGCUUUAUAAUAAAAUUGAGUAGACUAAGUGGGAAAAAAGGGAUGUUAGUCCCCUUUUUAUGGCCGAUUCAUUGGAUUGGGCCCCCAAAAGAUACCUUUUGGGGCCAUUGGCGUAGAGAGGGGGGAUCCGAUUUUCGGAUCGGCGCCGAAGGCGCCCAACCCUACUCGAUUUUUAUGAAAAACCACUCUUUUUAUUAGGAUUACUGGCUAAAACCGUACAAGUAAGGUAGUUUGGUUGGGGCGACCGCCUUCGAAAAAGUAUCGAAGGCGUACAUAAGAUUAAUCCGGGGGGGGUGUCCUUUUUUCACCCCCAAACAAACCGGGGGUAAUGCCCCAAAAAAGAUUAGUUUGACUGAGAGGGCUACAACCCGAACAGGCGCUUGGGGAUCGUUAGGAUCCCUGGGCCCGGUUUAUACCAAGGGGCCUAAUUGACCAGCGGGCUCCUUUUUAUUCCCGGGUCGAACCUAGCGGGUCAUAGUGAUCCGUUGUUAUAUUGUGGGAUAGACAACGAUCAACGAAGAAAAGUUACCAUGGGGAUAACAGCGUAA